AUUAUUUGUCUGAUUGGGAUAAGUAGUGAAUGCAUUUUUCUAGAGACGUAACGGCUGGUGGAAGUUACGAAAUGUAUUGAUGAAUUUCUGCCCAGUGUAUGGAGGACGAAUCGGUUUAACCGUUAUUGAAUUGAGAGAAUAGUCAUAUUGACUAUUAAUUAGGGUGGCAACGCGUAAAUACCACGUCCCUUUU
rnacentral:ncRNA from 1 species